rnacentral:rRNA from 1 species
UACGAAGGGGGCAAGCGUUGUUCGGAAUUACUGGGCGUAAAGGGCGCGCAGGCGGCCGAUCAAGUCAGAUGUGAAAGCCCCGGGCUCAACCUGGGAAUAGCAUUUGGGACUGUCUGGCUAGAGAUCGGGAGAGGAGAGUGGAAUUCCCAGUGUAGAGGUGAAAUUCGUAGAUAUUGGGAAGAACACCGGUGGCGAAGGCGGCUCUCUGGACCGAUACUGACGCUGAGGCGCGAAAGCGUGGGGAGCAAACAGG